rnacentral:rRNA from 1 species
AACGAACGCUGGCGGCGUGCCUAACACAUGCAAGUCGUGCGAGAAAGUUCCUUCGGGAGCGAGUAAAGCGGCGCACGGGUGAGUAACACGUAGGUAACCUGCCCCCCAGUCUGGAACAACUAGAGGAAACUCUAGCUAAUGCCGGAUGAGACCACGAUCCCUUCGGGGGUUGCGGCCAAAGAUGGCCUCUACUUGUAAGCUAUCGCUGAGGGAUGGGCCUGCGGGCCAUUAGCUUGUUGGUGAGGUAACGGCUCACCAAGGCUGUGAUGGCUAGCUGGUCUGAGAGGAUGACCAGCCACACUGGGACUGAGACACGGCCCAGACUCCUACGGAGGCAGCAGUGGGAAUUUUGGACAAUGGGGGCGAACCCUGAUCCAGCAAUGCCGCGUGAGUGAAGAAGGCCUUCGGUU